UGUCUGACUGCCCUUCCUUGAAACGGCACGUGUGCUGCCGAGAUAGCUGAUCUCAUGACAUUUAUGGUGCGGUAUGAUUUCCCUUCUUCGAAUAGGGCUGAGAGAAAAUUCAUGAUGUCGGAAACAGGGGCUGUAAAGGGAUCCAAGCUCUCCAUGCAGAUACAGGGAGUGCAGAAUUAUUAGGCAAAUGAGUAUUUUGACCACAUCAUCCUCUUUAUGCAUGUUGUCUUACUCCAAGCUGUAUAGGCU